GUUUGAUCCUGGCUCAGGAUAAACGCUAGCGGUGCGCCUAACACAUGCAAGUCGAGCGAUCGAACUGGACUGAUCACCCUUCGGGGUGAGAGGACCAGUGACGGAGCGGCGGACUGGUGAGUAACGCGUAGCUAACCUACCCCCUUGACGGAGAUAACUACCUGAAAGGGUAGCUAAUAUACGAUAUUGCUCGAGAUCGAAAGAUCUUGAGCCAAAGGCGGUCUUGCCGUCGCAAGAGGAGGGGGCUGCGUCCUAUUAGCUUGUUGGUGGGGUAAUGGCCCACCAAGGCGAUGAUGGGUAGCUGGUCUGAGAGGAUGGCCAGCCACAUUGGGACUGAGAUACGGCCCAGACUCCUACGGGAGGCAGCAGUGGGGAAUCUUUCGCAAUGGGCGAAAGCCUGACGGAGCGACACCGCGUGGGGGAUGAAGGCUUUCGGGUUGUAAACCUCUUUUCUGGGGGAAGAAUAAGGGCGGGAGGAAAUGCCCGUCCGAUGACGGUACCCCAGGAAUAAGCAUCGGCUAACUUCGUGCCAGCAGCCGCGGUAAGACGAAGGAUGCAAGCGUUAUCCGGAAUUACUGGGCGUAAAGGGCGCCUAGGCGGCUGAGUAAGUCACCCGUGAAAGCCCUCAGCUCAACUGAGGAAUGUCGAGUGAAACUGCCCAGCUUGGGUGCAGGAGAGGAGGGUGGAACUCACAGAGUAGCGGUGGAAUGCGUAGAUACUGUGAGGUACCCCGAUGGCGAAGGCAACCCUCUGGCCUGCUACCGACGCUGAAGCGCGAAAGCGUNGGGGAGCAAAGGGGAUUAGAUACCCCCGUAGUCCACGCCGCAAACGAUGUUCACUGGGUGUCGGUCGCUAAUACAGAUCGGUGCCGGAGCUAACGCGUUAAGUGANCCGCCUNGGGGAGUACGGCCGCAAGGCUAAANCUCANGANAAUUGACGGGGCCCCGCACAAGCGGUGGNGCACGUGGUUUAAUUCGAUGAUAAGCGAAGAACCUCACCUGGGUUUGACAUGCUAGUGGUAGGAACCGGAAACGGGGACGACCCUUGCCUUCGGGUAAGGGAGCUAGUACAGGUGAUGCAUGGCUGUCGUCAGUUCGUGUCGUGGGACGUUGGGUUAAGUCCCGAAACGAGCGCAACCCCUGUCGUCAGUUGCCAGCGGGUAAAGCCGGGGACUCUGACGAGACUGCCGGUGAAUAGCCGGAGGAAGGAGGGGAUGACGUCAAGUCAUCAUGUCCCUUAUGCCCAGGGCGACACACAUGCUACAAUGGGGGGUACAAAGGGCUGCAAUGCCGUAAGGCUAAGCCAAUCCCAAAAAACCUUCCUCAGUUCGGAUUGAGGUCUGUAACUCGACCUCAUGAAGCCGGAAUCGCUAGUAAUCGCAGGUCAGCCACACUGCGGUGAAUAUGUACUCGGGGCUUGUACACACCGCCCGUCACACCAACCGAGUGGGGGGUACUUAAAGUCGCUCUUUAUAGAGCGCCAAGGGUAACCUCCGCAAGAGGGGUGAAGUCGUAACAAGGUAACC
rnacentral:rRNA from 1 species